GCACAGGAAAUGAUGCUAGGAGGAGUGGGCGUGGUCAAAGGGUGGGAGGGAAGUAUUGGGAGCUCCGAGCCCCUCCGCGAAAGGGGGCGUGGCCUCGCCACCGAGGGGCGGGCUUUGUGACGCCUUCGCGGGCUGGCCGGGGAGAUUUGAAAACUGGAACUAGCCUAGGCUUAAGUGAGAAACUUUUCCUGCAUUUCUCGCUUUGAACUUGUUUACCUUGCCCUGUUCCGUUCUGUUGCCAAGUCUCCUUCAGGCUUACUUGUCUUGCUGCAGAACCUGCGUGAGAUGGAAUUCUGUGCAAGGAAAUGCCACGCUUGAAUGUACCUUGAGAUGUGAAGCAUGACAAGAACUAGCACCCAAGAACUCAUCAGGAUAAAAACAGUCUGACAGCAGCUGCCCUGGGGGCCAGCCCCUCUCCUGCUAGCCAUCAACAUGAAGAUGCUCCUGGGCUGAAGAGGUGGCAGCUUUCCAGGCAUAACCAGUGUUCUUGUUUACUGGGUGUAACUUCAGGAUGAGUUUAUAAAGUGAGAUCGUGGGACUGAUUAAAAGGUGGA